rnacentral:rRNA from 1 species
NNUUAUAUGAGAGUUUGAUCCUGGCUCAGGAUGAACGCUGGCGGUGUGCCUAAUACAUGCUAGUCGAACGCGUUGGCCCAAUUGAUUGAUGGUGCUUGCACCUGAUUGAUUUUGGUCGCNUACNAGUGGCGGACGGGUGAGUAACACGUAGGUAACCUGCCCAGAAGCGGGGGACAACAUUUGGAAACAGAUGCUAAUACCGCAUUACAACUUUGUUCGCAUGAACAACGCUUAAAAGAUGGCUUCUCGCUAUCACUUCUGGAUGGACCUGCGGUGCAUUAGCUNGUUGGUGGGGUAACGGCCUACCAAGGCGAUGAUGCAUAGCCGAGUUGAGAGACUUAUCGGCCACAAUGGGACUGAGACACGGCCCAUACUCCUACGGGAGGCAGCAGUAGGGAAUCUUCCACAAUGGGCGCAAGCCUNAUGGAGCAACACCGCGUGAGUGAAGAAGGGUUUCGGCUCGUAAAGCUCUGUUGUUAAAGAAGAACACGUAUGAGAGUAACUGUUCAUACGUUGACGGUAUUUAACCAGAAAGUCACGGCUAACUACGUGCCAGCAGCCGCGGUAAUACGUAGGUGGCNAGCGUUAUCCGGAUUUAUUGGGCGUAAAGAGAGUGCAGGCGGUUUUCUAAGUCUGAUGUGAAAGCCUUCGGCUUAACCGGAGAAGUGCAUCGGAAACUGGAUAACUUGAGUGCAGAAGAGGGUAGUGGAACUCCAUGUGUAGCGGUGGAAUGCGUAGAUAUAUGGAAGAACACCAGUGGCGAAGGCGGCUACCUGGUCUGCAACUGACGCUGAGACUCGAAAGCAUGGGUAGCGAACAGGAUUAGAUACCCUGGUAGUCCAUGCCGUAAACGAUGAGUGCUAGGUGUUGGAGGGUUUCCGCCCUUCAGUGCCGGAGCUAACGCAUUAAGCACUCCGCCUGGGGAGUACGACCGCAAGGUUGAAACUCAAAGGAAUUGACGGGGGCCNGCACAAGCGGUGGAGCAUGUGGUUUAAUUCGAAGCUACGCGAAGAACCUUACCAGGUCUUGACAUCUUGCGCCAACCCUAGAGAUAGGNNGUUUCCUUCGGGAACGCAAUGACAGGUGGUGCAUGGUCGUCGUCAGCUCGUGUCGUGAGAUGUUGGGUUAAGUCCCGCAACGAGCGCAACCCUUGUUACUAGUUGCCAGCAUUAAGUUGGGCACUCUAGUGAGACUGCCGGUGACAAACCGGAGGAAGGUGGGGACGACGUCAGAUCAUCAUGCCCCUUAUGACCUGGGCUACACACGUGCUACAAUGGACGGUACAACGAGUCGCGAACUCGCGAGGGCAAGCAAAUCUCUUAAAACCGUUCUCAGUUCGGACUGCAGGCUGCAACUCGCCUGCACGAAGUCGGAAUCGCUAGUAAUCGCGGAUCAGCAUGCCGCGGUGAAUACGUUCCCGGGCCUUGUACACACCGCCCGUCACACCAUGAGAGUUUGUAACACCCAAAGUCGGUGGGGUAACCUUUUAGGAGCCAGCCGCCUAAGGUGGGACAGAUGAUUAGGGNNNNNNNGUAACAAGNNNNNNNNNNNNGAACCUGNNNNNNGAUCACCUCCUUUCU